GGGCCAAGUCUAAGUCGGACGUCAGUGUGCACCGUGAGGUAACGAGCGCGGACUAAGACGACAUGGCGGAGGAUAAAUACUUACCCGAACUGAUGGCGGAGAGGGACAGCCUAGAUCCCUCUUUCGUGCACGGUUCUCGGCUGUUGUCGGCAGAAAUUGAAAAGAUUCAAAAAGGAGAGAAAAAGGAAGACGAGAAAAGAUUUCUUGAUAUUCUGACACAGAAGAACAUCAAGCUUUCUGAGCGAUGCCUGAUACCAGUUGCACAGUUUCCAAAAUUCAACUUUGUAGGGAAACUGCUUGGACCAAGAGGAAAUUCUUUGAAGCGUUUACAAGAGGACACUGGCACUAAAAUGUCCAUCCUUGGGAAAGGUUCAAUGAGAGAUAAGGCCAAGGAAGACGAGCUCCGUAAAGGAGGUGAAGCUAAGUAUGCACACUUGAACAGUGAUCUCCAUGUUCUUGUUGAAGUCUUUGCACCUCCAACUGAAGCCUAUUCCCGAAUGUACCAUGCAAUGGAGGAGCUGAAAAAAUUCCUCAUACCUGACUACAAUGAUGAAAUAAGGCAAGAGCAGCUAACUGAGCUGGCGUACUUGAAUGGUGGACAGGAUACAUCCCGUGGGAGAGGUGUACGUGCCAGAGGCGCUCCACCUGUACCGCUUGCAAGUCUGCUUCUUCCUAGGGGCCGUGGUGUCGCUCCACCUCCACCCUCCCCACAGUAUGGGCCGCGAGGUGCAAUGACACGUGGAGUAGCAGUGAGAGGAGCACCAGGAGGCCGCAGGGAAGUGACAAGUGGGCGUGGUGCCACACCAGCACAGAGGGGUGCUCCAGCGCUUCGUACUCGAGGGACACCUGCAGUGUAUAGACAGCCACUGCACCCGCCACCUGCUCAAGAGAGUUAUGAUGAAUAUGGCUAUGAUGAUGGCUAUUCGGAGCAAAAUUAUGAUAAUUACGAAAACUAUUAUGAUCAAGCCCAGAGUGAUGCUGAAUAUUUUGACUAUGGACAUGGUGAAGUACAGGAUGCAUAUGAUGAUUAUGGUCAGGAGGAAUGGAAUGCAGGACGAACAAGCAGGAAGGCACCAGCAAGGCCACUGAAGGGAAUGUACAGAGAACAUCCUUACGGGCGAUACUAAGGCCAGCCUCCAACCAACCUUGUGUGCGUCCUUAUAAAUUGCUUCAAUCUUCUGUGGUCACCAUCUUGUUAUCAGCUGUGAGACAAGCACGGGGUAGAAAGCCCUGCUGAAUUCUGCAUCCAUGGAAACUUGAGAAGGCUUGUUGGGUUUGCAAACAGAGCCAGAGGAAUUCCCUGAGCUGGAUCUGGCACUAUCCAUCGCCUGCCUGGAUUUAGAGCUGUCUCAACUGAUACAUUACGUGAAGUGAGCUCCUGAACUCUGUAUUGUACAGCCUCAAAGUGGCGUUACUUCAGAUUUAUCCCUUGUUUUUAAUCACUGACAUCCUCUUGUCAAAUACAGUUUUAUAGGUGGAAAGAGACAGGGACACCUUUAAAGCUGAUGCAGAGAUAGAGCCAUCAGUGCAUGAGAUUGGUAACAGCAUUUAGCCCAAUGCCAUUGACCUUUCAGAACAAAGUUAUAUCUCAGUCAGAAACAAGGCCAGAACAAAACUUUUGAAAAAUUAAUCAUGUCUGAAGAAAAUGGUGGAUCUUUAGAAACAUUGAAACCUAGAAAAUAGGUGCAGGAGUAGGCCAUUCGGCCCUUCAAGCCUGCACCGCCAUUCAGUAUGAUCAUGGCUGAUCAUCCAACUCAAAAACCUGUACCUACUUUCUCUCCAUACCCCCGAUCCCUUUAGCCACAAGGGCCAUAUCUAACUUCCUCUUAAAUAUAGCCAAUGAACCUGCCUCAACUGUUACCUGUGGCAGAGAAUUCCACAGAUUCACCACCAUUUAGUGAUCCAGUGGUUAAGAUAGUGUGUAGAUGUUGCACAGGACUUCAGGAGGAACGUGACACUGGAGGAUAUAACUGUACUGUUCAUAACCCAAGCUGUUCACAAUUCAGAAAUGCAGCUGGGUAAAGAGUUCCCACGUGGCAGAAGAUUCCUGCAGCUCCACAACAGCCAGUUAAUCCAUCCCACUAGCCUCCCAAACACUUGCUUGUACACAGGCAAUACAUAAAAUGGGUGUUCAGUAGGACCUCUGUAAAAUUAUGCACUGGAGAGGGGUGAUGGAACGUGGAUAGAUACUGCAAUUUGCAUCUACUCUUUAGCUGGCUGGUGGGUGGGUGGAAUCUGAAGUUACAAAUUUGAAGAAAAUGUUGGAAAAAUGUGGCAGUUCGUGCAGGAUCUGUGGAGAUAGAAAUUGUUAGACUUUCCGUUCAUUAUGUUAACUGUUUCUUUUAUCAGAAUUGCUGCCUGCCUUGAGUUUUCCCAGCAUUUUCUGCAGUUAUCAGAUUUGCAGCAUCUGCAGAUUUAGAUUUUUCGUCUUUGGAGUAGGAUUGAAAAAGUGAUAAAGUGUAUUUGCAACUCCAACAUCAGACAUGGAAAUCGUCCUAUAAAGUUAGGGCUGGUGUAGAGAAAUUGCAGUGCUUUGGAGAGCGUAUAAAUACAAUAACUUUGCCAUGGUUGGGUGAAUCCAAUUAUGGUAGAAUAUUGAAAUUAGAGAUGAUGGAGGAAAUGGGGCAUUAUGGAGAGACAGUAGAAUUAGAUGGACCAAGCCCAGCAAAAAAAAAAUCCUGUUUUCUCUUGUAUAUAGCCAUUAACUUGAAGUUUUGAAUUUACAAAGUUGGCCAAGUACCAGCAGCAAAUAAGGGACCUACUUGCAUAGAGAGUUCUGUGAUCUGGGGUGCACUAAUGUACAAUAAGGCAGAAUCAUAUUCAAUAGAAAUGUCUGAACACAAGUUAGAUGUGCUUUUCUCCCUUCAGCAUCUUCUAGGCAAAACUUCAUAUAAUGGGAUAUUGCUUUCAAUUCUUUUAUGUAGAAAAAUUGCUUUGUACCUGACAGUAAGAUUGUUAUUAACCUAAUGUAAAAACAAAAUGGCACCAAAAUGUUGGUUUAAAUGCGUAAGAUACUAUAUCUUGGAAAGCAAAGGGUCUACAUUUUAAGUGUAUGAGUCAGAUAAGGAAGGUGGCUGUAUUGCUGUUGGUCAGCUGAUGUAGGUGUGAUAGAUCAGCCUGCAUCUGUUUUAUAAAUGCUAGCUUUUCAGGUUGGAGAGGUUUUGUCUCUGAUCUGAAACAUUAACUUUGUUUCUCUUUCUACAGAUGUCACCUGGCCUACUAUUUUCCCACCAGUGUUUUCCAUUUAUAAUAGGUUUCCAGAAUCUAUAUUUCUUCAAUUUUUGUUGAUGUACUAAGCACUGAACUGGUGCAGAGAUUAAUGGUUUAAAUUGUCCAUUACCACUUAAAUGAAAUGUCUUCAGUUGUAGGUUCCUCAGCAUGUGAGGUGAGAAGCUCCACAACACCCAUUAUAAUGCCUGCCUCACCACCAGGACAACAGUGUCAUUCUUGAUGCUGCCUACGUCAGGAGAAGCCUCUGAUAUUAUUCUCUGCUUCAGGACAUAUCUUCUGCCAAAAACCAUUAAUUUGUCAUUUGCUUCAUUCCAUUCCUUAGUGUCUGGCUCUGAUGGGUGUUUGAUUUCUAUGUAGCAAUGAGACCUGGUGAAUCAGCUUUCUCCCAAAAGCAAAUCUACUCCAGGUAAAGGAGAUAGCCAGGGAGGAAUAAUGGAUAAAGCCACACUGGGAUGAUAGGUCAUAUUAGACAGAUCCACGUUCUCUGCCCGAUCAUUUCCUUCCCAUCCAGAAGUUGCAAAUCUUGCAAUCUUGAUGUUCCCAACAAUCUUGCAGUACAUUCUUAAUUGGAUGAUCAUUCUCAUGACCACUGAGUGGCACCCAGUAAUUCCUAGCCAUCUGCAAUCUUCACAAAUGCAGGUGGCAUCUGACCCAUUUCUGUCUGCAGAGCAGAAACUGAAGCCCCAACUGCACCACAACACAGACAUAAAACCUGGGCUUGAAUAACAUCCAGUGAUUUGAGAAGUCGGGGCAGUAGACCCAUAUGAAACACAGCCAUAAUCUGUCUGCUCUAAUCACUGCAUAUUACAAAGUAAUCUUUAAUACCCUGUUAGCCCCCCAACCGUAUUCCACCAAACACUGAAGGACAGCCUUACAUCUGCCAAGUAUUUUAUUGACAUGAUGUGGCCAUGCACGUUUCACAACCAUUCACAUACCAAGAAACCUAAUCACUGACACCUGUUCCAAUAUCUGUCCUUACAGUCGAAGGUCAACAGUUGGCCUGUUGAUCCAUUUACUAAAGCAAAUAACCUGAGCUUUUGUUACUGAAAAUGUAAACCUCCCUGCUCGCCCCAUUACUCUCUGUGCAGCAGCCUGAAGCUUAUUAAUUACAUAUUUUAGAUUCCUGCCUCUUUUUCAAACAGCUCUAUCAUCAGCAUACAAGGACUUAGAAAUGUCAGGAUCAACUUCAGAAAAAAUAUAACUUAGUGUAAUUGAUCAGGACAGGGCUACAAACAUGUCGUUCUGGAGUACCAUUAUCUAGAAUAAACCUUAGAAUGCUCCUUACCCAUCCUGGCCAGUAUGGUCCUCCGAAACAAAAAAAUCUUUAAACUUAUUAUAUAUUUGUCCACCAAUCCCAAGACUUCACAGUGUUAAGUGAUGGGCAACAAUGAAUAUAGAAUUGAGUCAGGUUUUAUAAACAAACAUGACAUUUAUUAAACUCUGUUCAACAAAAGUGAAAUGACUAACCUAACCGGAAGUUAACUACUAUAUGGCAAUUUAACAAACAGCCAAACUCUGGAAUAGUUCUUAUAGUGGUAAAUUCGAAAGUCCAAGUGAUUUAUAUAGUCAGUAAGGAGAGACUUCCCUGAAAACUGAUUUCUUCGAAGACGUGACGUUACUGUUGAUCCCAGCCAAAAGAUGCCUUGUCCAAAAGAUUCACAACAAAGGAAAUAAGACAAUAGUUGCAGAAGUAGACCAUUCGGCCCUUUGAGCCUGCACCGCCAUUCUGAGAUCAUGGCUGAUCAUCUACUAUCGAUACCCGGUUCCUGCCUUGUCCCCAUAUCCUUUGAUUCCCCUAUCCAUAAGAUAACUAUCUAGCUCCUUCUUGAAAGCAUCCAGAGAAUUGGCCUCUUCCGAGGCAGUGCAUUCCAGACCCCCACAACUCUCUGGGAGAAGAAGUUUUUCCUUAACUCUGUCCUAAAUGACCUACCCCUUAUUCUCAAACCAUGCCCUCUGGUACUGGACUCUCCCAGCAUCUGGAACAUAUUUCCUGCUUCUAUCUUGUCCAAUCCCUUAAUAAUCUUAUAUGUUGCAAUCAGAUCCCCUCUCAAUCUUCUUAAUUCCAAUGUGUACAAGCCCAGUCUCUCUAACCUCUCUGCGUAAGACAGUCCGGACAUCCCAGGAAUUAACCUCGUGAAUCUACGCUGCACUUCCUCUAUAGCCAGGAUGUCCUUACUUAACCCUGGAGACGAAAACUGUACACAAUACUCCAGGUGUGGUCUCACCAGGGCCCUGUACAAAUGCAAAAGGAUUCCCUUUGUAAUAAAGGCCAACAUUCCAUUAGCCUUCUUCAAUGCCUGCUGCGCCUUCAGUGACUGAUGAACAAGGACUCCUAGAUCUCUUUGUAUUUCUCCCUUACCUAACUCUACACCAUUCAGAUAAUAAUCUGCCUUCCUGUUCUUACUCCCAAAGUGGAUAACCUCACACUUAUUCACAUUAAACGUCAUCUGCCAAGUAUCUGCCCACUCACUCAACCUAUCCAAGUCACCCUGAAUUCUCCUAACAUCCUCAUCAUGUCACACUGCCACUCAGCUUAGUAUCAUGAGCAAACUUGCUGAUGUUAUUCUCAAUGCCUUCAUCUGAAUCGUUGAUGUAAAUCGUAAACAGCUCCCAAUACCAAGCCUUGCGGCACCCCACUAGUCACCACCUGCCAUUCCGAGAAACACCCAUUCACCGUUACCCUUUGCUUUCUAUCUGCCAACCAGUUUUCUUUCCAUGUCAAUAUCUUCCCCCCAAUGCCAUGAGCUCUGAUUUUACCCACCAAUCUCCUAUGUGGGACCUUAUCAAAUGCCUUCUGAGGUACACUACAUCCACUGGAUCUCCCCCGUCUAACUUCCUGGUUACAUCCUCGAAAAACUCCAAUAGAUUAGUCAAGCAUGAUUUGCCCUUGGUAAAUCCAUGCUGGCUCUGCCCAAUCCUAUCACUGCUAUCUAGAUAUGCCACUAUUUCAUCUUUAAUAAAACAGCUUAAAGGAACUGACCUUUUUGCUGGAAGGUGAACACUUCCUGAUCUUGCAGGGGUUAUCUCAGAUUCCUGAACGGAGGUUCAAUAAGGUCUAUCCUUUAUAAAAUCACCGAAUGAUAACAACUUUACUCAAUCCUUCUGGUUCCUGUACUUUGGUAAGGUCUUCACUCUCCAAUACUAGACUGUAAAGGUAAAAGAAAGGUGCAACAAACAAAAACAGGCAGCGAUUGGCGAAACUGCCAGCAACAACCUUGGCAUCUUAAAAUAGAAAGUAAAACCCCACUUUACAAUGAGAUGUCAUGAGAUGAAUACUCAGCAAAACUAACUAACGAACAAACCGCAUGACAACAGGUGUUUUCCCUUACAUACCUGUUGGAACAUGCCAUCACGUGACCUCUCACCUGCAGGAAAAUUACAUCACGUGACCUCACACUGGCAGGAAAAUUACCUCACCCCACCAUCACAAGACCAUUACAUCAUGUUCACAAGACACCCACAGGGUAUGUAACAACAGUAAUCAACAGUCUCUCCUUCCACAGCAUAUCAUAAUCCACUCCAAUAUCAACCUGUUCCUUUCUUAUAUCAGAUUCCAGACAGAGUCCAGAGACGGCCUAAAUCUGAACAGUCAUCUUUUGUGCUAAUGGGGAGGUGCAUUACUGCCACCUACUGUAAUGGAGAAUGAAGGCAUGACAAGGAUCAAAUCCUGUUUGCAUCCCAAUUCUGUUUUAAUUAAAAUGUUCACCAGGGCCCUACAUGACUUAACUCAGGUUCCAGAAUAUCCUGCAAACUAGGCGCCCCAGAUCUACCGAAUAAUUUACUUGACCUUAUUGUCAUCAAACAAUUUAUACUAGAGCGUACAAUCAUCACAGCGAUAUUUGAUUCUGUGCUUCGCGCUCCCUGAAGUACAAAUCGAAGUAAGUAUAAUAAAAAUUUAAAUAAUAAAUCAUAAUUAGAAAAGGGAAAGUAAGGUAGUGCAAGUCAGGUCCGGAUAUUUGGAAGGUACGGCCCAGAUCCAGGUCAGGAUCCGUUCAGCAGUCUUAUCACAGUUGGAAAGAAGUUGUUCCCAAAUCUGGCCAUACGAAUUUUCAAGCUCCUGAACCUUCUCCUGGAGGGAAGAGGGACAAAAAAAUGUGUUGGCUGGGUGGGUCAUGUCCUUGAUUAUCCUGGCAGCACUGCUCCGACAGCGUGCGGUGUAAAGUGAGUCCAAGGAUGGAAGAUUGGUUUUGAGUGAUGUGCUGGGCUAUGUUCACUAUCUUCUGCAGCUUCUUCCAGUCUUGGACAGGACAACUUCCAUACCAGGUUGUGAUGCACCCUAGAAGAAUGGUUUCUACACUGCAUCUAUAAAAAUUAGUGAGGGUUUUAGGGGAUAGGCCAAAUCUCUUUUGUUGGGGUAACCUAUUGCAUCCAGUGCUCCCGGUGCGGCCUCCUCUACAUCGGCAAGACCUGACGCAGAUUGGGGGACCGCUUCAUCGAGCACCUCUGCUCCGUCCGCCACAACAGACAGGAUCUCCCAGUUGCCACUCACUUCAACUCUCCCUCUCAUUCCCAUUCAGAUAUGUCCAUACAUGGCCUCCUCUACUGCCAUUUUGAGGCCAAACUUCGGUUGGAGGAACAACAUCUCAUUUACCAUCUGGGUAGUCUCCAGCCCCUUGAUAUGAACAUCGAAUUCUCCAACUUCCGGUAAUUCCCUCCCUCUCCCUUCCCCAUCCAACCUCUACUCUGUCUCCUCUUCUAGCUGCCUAUCACCUCUCAUGACUCUGCCUUCUUGUACUACCCAUAGUGCUUUCCCUCUUCACCUCUCCUGCCUAUCACCUCCCUGCUUCCCCUCCCCCACCCCUUGAUCUUUCCUCUGAUUGGUUUUACACCCUCUCCCCACCUUCUUUAUAGGGCCCCUGCCCCCUUUCUUUAGUCCUGAUGAAGGGUUUCGACCCAAAACGUUGACUGCUUCUUUCAACAGAUGCUGCCCAACCUGCUGAGUUCAUCCAGCUUUUUUGUACGUCCAAAUCUCUUCAGCUUUCUCAGGAAGUAAAGGCCUUCUUGGCAGUGGAUUCUGCUUGGUUAGACCAAGUCAGGUCAUUUGUGAUAUCCACCACAAGGAACUUAAAGCUUUUGACCUGUUCCACCUGUGCACCACCAAUGUAGAUGGGGUUGUGCGGUCCGCUACUCCUUCUGAAGUCAACAACCAAUUCCUAAUUGUUUAGGUUCCAAUGAAUAUCUGUGGCGCACCAUGAUCAUUUCCCAAUGUCCCCCAACCUAAUGCAAGAUUUGGUUGCAUACUUUCCCCAUAUUAACUAUAAUAGCUAUUUCAGACUUAAUAAAUGCAUGUUUUGCUAUAACAUCUGCACUUUCUUUACCCAAUGCACCCACAUGUGCAGGUAACUCACAAAACUAUAGUACUAUUUGCGCACUCUCCAGAACAUAGAUAAUACACUUCCAUCAACAGAUCAGGUUUCCUUCAACACUUCGGUUCCAAAUUCUGCAGUAAUGAGGCAGAGUCUGUUUCUAUUUGGCUUAACUUGUUCAACCCAUUUUAGACUAAUGAUAAUGCCCACAAAUUCUGCUGUAUAGGCAGACAGUCCAUCUGUCAGCCUUUUCCCCUCCUCAGCGUUAAACCAGAGGAUAAAUAUCUUGGAGCCCAACCAGUUACUAACUGGAUUCUUAGAGCCAUCUAUAAAGAUAGGUAAAAAGGAAAUACAAUACUGUGGUAACUGACUAGACAUCCUCUCACCUCCCACAGGACCCAGUCUAUCCUCCAGUAGCAUCAAAUCUAUUUCCACAGUGGAACUCCUGGCCAGGUCACAGUUGGGAUAAUCCUGAAAUACUCAAGUCCGUACUGUGGCAUGUAUUCCCUAAUUAUCUACCCAAAACAUUUACCAAGUCUGCUAGUAUUUUCCCCACAAUCUAUUAAAACAGAAUACAUCAAAAUGGGACACCCCCUCCCCAACUUAGGAUGUAAGGCUCAAAUUUUCUCUCCAUGGGUCAAGAGACACCCCACCUAGUUAAUCCUGCAGUACAUCUCUAGCUGCCAUCUGGAAUGCUGCUGUACAGAUUCUAAGUGCGCUGGUCCGUAGAACAUACAAUCUAUAGAAAACAGAAUGAGCUGCCUCCCUAUAAAUCACAACCAUAAUACAAACAAGAGCAUAUUAAAGUGCGAUGAAUGGUCAAUAAAACACCCUUAGAAGCCAGCCACACAGAGCAUGAUGUUAAUGACCUGUGUACAUUUAUCAUCAAGAAAACUUCAUAUGUGUUCUCUAAGUCAUCUCGCAUCCAGGCAUAGCCACAAAUAUUUAAACACUGGAACCCUAGACAGCAAGCACCCAUACAGAGUAAGGUGAAUAUAAUCCACACUAUGCUUUUGAGAAAAAAACAUAUAUUUUGACUUUGAAACAAAAUUUUAAACCUGUCCAAAGACCAUUCUUCCACUGCUGAUAAUGUUAUUUGCACAAAACCUUACCACAUAGGCAAUAUUAUGACCCCUUUUCCACAGAGUCCAAACAUCAGCAUAUAAAGCUAAAUCAAAGCCAGGCGCAACACCAAAAAUAUCAUUAAUCAUCAGAUUAAACAAUAUUGGACUAAUCACACUCCAAGGGCGUCCAAUUCCAAAACAGGAAAAAUCUGCAAAAGAACAAAAAAUCAAAUUGUCUACUAUUCCUGGUCAGACUGGUCUCCUGCUUCUCCCAUUUGCCAGAAUUCUGCACUGUGGCAAUAUAUUUAAAUGUCAAGUCUUUCUCCGACUGGCCUUCUGCCAUGUCCCGGGUGGUACUGCCACUUCAGGAGAUGUUUUCACCUCAUCUCCAAUAUUGUGUUCUCUGCUCUGCCAGGGAUUAUUUACAUUUGGUGGAGUGGUGCAGGACUUGGAGACAAUAUUCUGCCCUAUCUUCAUUCAGAGAGCUCCAUUCUGCCUCAUAAUGAAUUGGUCCUUGCAGCAGAUUGAGAAAGGUUUCAGAGCACAACACCGUAGCAUAGUAGUUAGUCUUAUAUCAUUGCAGUCCCAGCAACCCGAGUUCAGUUCCACCACUGUCUGUAAGGAGUUUGCAUGUUUCCCUGUGACAGCAUGGGUUUCCUUCCACGUAUGAAAGAUGGACAGCUUCGUACGUUAAGUGGUCACAUGGAUAGCAAAGGUUCUUUGAGCAGGAAGAGCCUGUUAUCGUGCUGUAUUUAAAUAAAAAAAAAACAUUCUGGAUUCUCCCAAAUGCCAUCAGCAACAUUAACCAACUUACGAAUAUCAUUGUCUUGGUUUGUCAUACUGAGAAGUGAUGUUACUGUGUCCAAGUGCAAGAACCAGAGAUGUUGCUGCUAUUUACUGGGUGGACAUCAGUUUCAUCAUAGCAACAAUAGGGGGAAAACUGGAAAAUCAAAAAGCAGCGCGACAACUUGGUGAAGGUUGCACCAAUGGAUCAACAUUGUCACUCCUUCCAGUCAUGAAGUCAAGCAUCUAAGGUGUUCCUAAAUGUGGAACUGCCAGUGUCCUCGGUCUGAUUGAAAUUGGUUUGCGAAGUCCGUCGAUCAGCAAGUUAUAGCCUGGUCUGCUACAGCCUCAAUCCGCCUCUGGUGUAGGACGUAGGCAGUGUUGUUACAUUAUUUUUUUUCCCUGGGCAUACAACACAAUGAAAGAGUCAUUAGGGUUAACAUCAACUAUAAGAAGCCAGUCAUUGUAAUGGGUAAAUCUACAGCUGGAUUCUACUGUGUCCAUUCCUCCUCCCGACAAGUCCAGAGGGCUCCGUGUUGAUGACACAAGUGAGCUCUCACUGCUUUGUGUUUCCCAUCAAUUAUUACUGUGUGGUUUGGAGCAUUGAGAGGGGAUCUGAUUGAAACACAUAAGAUUAUUAAGGGAUUGGACGAGAUAGAGGCAGGAAAUACAUUCCAGAUGCUGGGAGAGUCCAGUACCAGAGGGCAAGGUUUGAGAAUAAGGGGUAGGUCAUUUAGGACAGAGUUAAGGAAAGACUUCUUCUCCCAGAGAGUUGUGUGGGCCUGCCUCGGAAGGUAGUGGAGGCCAGUUCUCUGGAUGCUUUCAAGAAGGAGCUAGAUAGUUAUCUUAUGGAUAGGGGAAUCAAGGGAUAUGGGGACAAGGCAGGAACCGGGUAUUGAUAGUAGAUGAUCAGCCAUGAUCUCAAAAUGGCGGUGCAGGCUUGAAGGGCCGAGUGGUCUACUUCUGCACCUAUUGUCUAUCAUGCACUGCAGUCCAUGUCAAUGCUUUUAUUGCCUGAUAUUGUGAACUUGGUGUAGAAGAUUGUUAUCUUCUUUCAAAGCUGUUGAGGGAUUUGCAGUAUUAUUCCAAUGAUGUAUUCCCCUUAGGAACCAUGAGAAACUUGGGGUUCGAUGCCCAUUUAACCAUAACAAAGUACCAUGCACAUAGGAAAGUCGCCAUGCAGAAAACACAGAGCACACAUGUUCCUUUUUUGUUUGGAGGAUGUGUUGGCUAGCUGGUCAUUUCCUCAUAAGCUAUCAGAAACCAUACCUCCUUAGAGAGUACAUGUGUUGUCUUUUCUCCUGUCCUGCUCAUCUCACAAUAUCUCUUACCCUGCGCUAUCACUUGCCUAACUUUACCUGAGAGUCUUGAUAUGCUCAGUUAAUCCUUCAAUGUUGAUAUUCCUGCUGUGUAUCCAACUGAAUCCUGACCAGGAAUGUUUAAUACUGUAUCAUCUUUGUGCUCUAGAAUAGAUAGGGUCUGACCUGGUCUAAUUUGCCCAGUUCUGGAGCAUUCCAUUUUGUACACCUGAAUCUGUGAGCAGUGUCUUCAUCUUACAUUGGUUUUAGAUUGGUAGUUUCCUGUUUGACAUUUUUCUCACCUCACUUAACUAAAUAUUCUUUCUCCUGCUGUUCCAAUUGCAACCCUGACUCAGCUCAGUAACUGGGUCUCCUGGCAAUUACAUACUGCAACCUAUCGUUAACUCAAGUGGCAUCAAUCCAGUUUUAUCUCUCAGCAUUGCCCUUAAACACAUCGAUAUCAACAAUAAUAAAAUCCAAAUCCACUCUCCCUACCAGUUUCUUGUAUGACUUGCCAGAUCCCCUGCUAGGGUAUGGUUUGCGCUCCACCAACCGCAUGGAAUUCGAUCUCCGUCUACUGUGCAGCUGCAUUAAACUCUGGGUCCAUUGGUGUAAAGGGGUGUAUUGAAUGAGAUUGCAGCAAAGUAAAAGUUAAUAUGCUUUUAUUAUUAAAAAUACCAUUUCCUUUUAAUAACAAAAGAUACUACAAAAAUUUUUACAUCAAAAAUGUGUAUGCAGCCACAGUUUCUCCAUUACCCAGUUGCUUGGACUUCUGUGUGCUCUGUUUGAAGUGAAGCCAGUUCUCCAGGUGUCGAACCCAUAUGCAGCACAUUCCAAAUAGAGACUUCUGUUGACCAUUCCUUCCCUGAUUGGUUUUUGUUUCAGCACAAGUGGGCAAAAAAUGUCUCUUUUCCGUAUUAGACGUUAUGGGACCAAAGACUCAGUCAGUGAAGAGGAGCUGUGGGAAGAACUGUCCCCAAAACCACUUUUCUCACUGUCAGAUGGUGGAUCCCUCAAACUAGUGUCACUGACAGUUACUGCUGACGUACUGAACCCUGUUACUUCCCUCCAGCUUUCAUUUUUCUCCCAGCUGAACAUGGUUCCCAGAGGAUAGGAGUCUGUGAUAUUGAUGAGUCUUUUUCAGAACAGCUCCCAAGAUGUUCUCGCCCUCUACCAGUUCUUUGGCUGGUACGGCAUUGUUAUUUCAUCUGCAGCUUCAUUUUCUUCAUUCUCUGAAGGAUGAAUUGCCGUUGGAGGAGCUCAGAGGAUUGCUCACGGUGGCCAUUUGCUGCGCUGGUUUUCUCAGCAGCUUGACAGCGGUUUCUCAGGCGCCAGAUUCCCGCACGAGUUGUCAUGAAUGUGAACCAAGGUCUUCUUCCUGACAUAUUGAGAGAGGAUCUGAACUUGAAUUACUGCCCCCAGCACCUUCGUGAAUGGAAACCAACUUCAGAAUAUCAUUGCCCUGGUUGAUAAUACUCUGAACUGGUACUACUGU